GAGAUAGCUCAGGUGGUAGAGCACGAGGCUCUUAACUUCAGGGUUGUGGGUUCAAGUCCCACGUUGGGCA